rnacentral:lncRNA from 1 species
CACAGUAUGGACAAUAUCACCCAGACAAAACUGGGCCACAUGAAGCAAGAGGAGAAGCCAAGCAGAUGGGGGAAUUAAGAGCAGGGCUCAAAGAGAAACUGGUAAUAAUUGUGAGUGGAAAUUUCUCUGUGGUCUAUUCCUCUUAAGAAAUUUGGCUUUUCUGAUCAGAGCAAGGAAUCAGCAAAGAAGGACCUAGCACAGUGCCUGGAACAAGCAGAGGCUCAACUAAUGCUCACUGGCACAGUUGGGAAGACCUGUGUUCAAGUGGGAACUCAUUAUCCAUGGGACCUUAGGACAGUCAUUUAAUUGUUUCAAAUUUGGUCCUAUCACCCAGGCUCCAACAAAGUCCUAGUUCUCCUGCCUAUAAAAUAAGGAUUAUAAAAGCUUCUGCUUCCUAUGAUUGUUAUGAGGAUUAAAUGAGACAACAUAUCU